UGGUAAUGCCGGAUGCUCCAGUUGGACGCAUGUUCUUUUGGGAAAGAUUCAUCGGUAUGGGAUGGGGUCGCGUCCUAUCAGCUUGAUGGCGGGGUAACGGCCCACCAUGGCUUCGACGGGUAGCCGGCCUGAGAGGGCGACCGGCCACAUUGGGACUGAGAUACGGCCCAGACUCCUACGGGAGGCAGCAGUGGGGAAUAUUGCACAAUGGGCGCAAGCCUGAUGCAGCGACGCCGCGUGCGGGAUGACGGCCUUCGGGUUGUAAACCGCUUUUGACUGGGAGCAAGCCCUUCGGGGUGAGUGUACCUUUCGAAUAAGCACCGGCUAACUACGUGCCAGCAGCCGCGGUAAUACGUAGGGUGCAAGCGUUAUCCGGAAUUAUUGGGCGUAAAGGGCUCGUAGGCGGUUCGUCGCGUCCGGUGUGAAAGUCCAUCGCUUAACGGUGGAUCCGCGCCGGGUACGGGCGGGCUUGAGUGCGGUAGGGGAGACUGGAAUUCCCGGUGUAACGGUGGAAUGUGUAGAUAUC
rnacentral:rRNA from 1 species